rnacentral:rRNA from 1 species
GACGUAGGGCGCGAGCGUUGUCCGGAUUUAUUGGGCGUAAAGAGCUCGUAGGCGGCUCGUUGCGUCGGCUGUGAAAACCCGCAGCUCAACUGUGGGCUUGCAGCCGAUACGGGCGGGCUAGGAUUCGGUAGGGGAGACUGGAAUUCCUGGUGUAGCGGUGAAAUGCGCAGAUAUCAGGAGGAACACCGGUGGCGAAGGCGGGCCUCUGGGCCGAUAUCGACGCUGAGGAGCGAAAGCGUGGGGAGCGAACAGG